rnacentral:tRNA from 1 species
GCAGUGAUGGUUCGGUGGUAGAAUUCUCACCUCCCAUGCAGGAGACUCAGGUUCGAUUCCUGGCCAAUGCA